rnacentral:misc_RNA from 1 species
AACGCACCUUGCACUCCUUGGUAUUCCGAGGAGUAUGCCUGUUUGAGUCUCAUGGAAUUCUCAACCCCUAAAUUUUGUAAUGAAGUUUAGUGGGCUUGGACUUGGAGGUUGUGUCGGCUUCUAGUCGACUCCUCUGAAAUGCAUUAGCGUGAAUCUUACGGAUCGCCUUCAGUGUGAUAAUUAUCUGCGCUGUGGUGUUGAAGUAUUUAUUAGUUCGUGCUUAUAAUCGUCUCUUACCGAGACAAUUUAUGACAAUCUGAGCUCAAAUCAGGUAGGACUACCCGCUGAACUUAA